UGCAGGUUGCCUAAAAUUGGAAACUUGGGAGGGCUUGGUGGGAGCUGCUUAUCUCGUCUUUUGUCUUCUUUCUUUUUGAAGACGAAGAAUAGAGACAGGACUAAGAAAACAAGCCACANNNNNNCAUAAGGAGCCAUUAGAGCUUUUGCCUAGUUAUGUCUCAAGUACCUACUUUCAACUAGCCUUGGCUUAGCUGAUAAUUAAACCUGAAAAAAAUGCAAGUGCUUGCCAACAAAAG
rnacentral:misc_RNA from 1 species